GAUGAAGAACGUAGCGAAAUGCGAUAAGUAGUGUGAAUUGCAGAAUUCAGUGAAUCAUCGAAUCUUUGAACGCACAUUGCGCCCCUUGGUAUUCCAUGGGGCAUGCCUGUUCGAGCGUCAUUUGUACCUUCAAGCUCUGCUUGGUGUUGGGUGUUUGUCUCGCCUCUGCGUGUAGACUCGCCUCAAAACAAUUGGCAGCCGGCGUAUUGAUCUCGGAGCGCAGUACAUCUCGCGCUUUGCACUCAUAACGACGACGUCCAAAAGUACAUUUUUACACUCUUGACCUCGGAUCAGGUAGGGAUACCCGCUGAACUUAAGCAUAUCAAUAAGCGGAGGA
rnacentral:misc_RNA from 1 species